CCUCACACGGGGCUUGCACAGCUUGCACGGGGCUUGCACGCCUUGCACAACCUCACGCGGGGCUUGCACAGCUUGCAUGGGGCUUGCACACCUUGCACAACCUCACGCGGGGCUUGCACAGCUUGCACGGGGCUUGCACGCCUUGCACAGCUUGCACAACCUCACACGGGGCUCGCACAGCUUGCACGGGGCUUGCACACUUCACACGCCUCGCAUGGGGGUUGCACAGCCUUGCACGGCCUUGCACACUUUGCAGGAGGCCAGCACACCUUGCACGCCUUGCACAACCUCACAUGGGGCUCGCACACCUUGCACGGGGCUUGCACACUUCACACACCUCGCAUGAGGGUUGCACAGCCUUGCACGGCCUUGCACACUUUGCAGGAGGCCAGCACACCUUGCACGCCUUGCACAACCUCACACGGGGCUUGCACAGCUUGCACGGGGCUUGCACGCCUUGCACAACCUCACGCGGGGCUUGCACAGCUUGCACGGGGCUUGCACACCUUGCACGCCUUGCACAACCUCACACGGGGCUUGCACAGCUUGCAUGGGGCUCGCACGCCUUGCACACCUUGCACAACCUCACACGGGGCUUGCACACCUUGCACAACUUCAUGCGGGGCUCGCACAGCUUGCACGGGGCUUGCACACUUCACACGCCUUGCACAGGGGCUGCACAGCCUCACACGGCCUUGCACACUUUGCAUGGGGCUUGCGCAGGGCUCGCACGCCUUGCACACCUUGCACAACCUCAUGCGGGGCUCGCACAGCUUGCACGGGGCUUGCAUGCCUUGCACAACCUUGCACAGGGCAUGCACACUUCACACACCUCGCAUGGGGGUUGCACAGCCUUGCACAUUUUGCAGGAGGCCUGCACACCUUGCACAACCUCACAGGGGGCUUGCACACUUCGCAGGAGGCCUGCACACCUUGCACACCUUGCACAACCUCACGCGGGGCUCGCAUAGCUUGCACAGGGCUUGCACGCCUUGCACAACCUCACGCGGGGCUUCCACACCUUGCACGGGGUUUGCACGCCUCGCACAACCUUGCACGGGGCUUGCACACUUCACACGCCUCGCACGGGGGUUGCACAGCCUUGCACACUUUGCAGGAGGCCUGCACGCCUUGCACACCUUGCACAACCUCAUGCGGGGCUCGCACGGCUUGCACGGGGCUUGCACACCUUGCC
rnacentral:lncRNA from 1 species